rnacentral:rRNA from 1 species
GACGAACGCUGGCGGCGUGCUUAACACAUGCCAGUCGAACGGAAAGGCCCUGCUUUUGUGGGGUGCUCGAGUGGCGAACGGGUGAGUAACACGUGAGUAACCUGCCCUUGACUUUGGGAUAACUUCAGGAAACUGGGGCUAAUACCGGAUAGGAGCUCCUGCUGCAUGGUGGGGGUUGGAAAGUUUCGGCGGUUGGGGAUGGACUCGCGGCUUAUCAGCUUGUUGGUGGGGUAGUGGCUUACCAAGGCUUUGACGGGUAGCCGGCCUGAGAGGGUGACCGGCCACAUUGGGACUGAGAUACGGCCCAGACUCCUACGGGAGGCAGCAGUGGGGAAUAUUGCACAAUGGGCGGAAGUCUGAUGCAGCAACGCCGCGUGCGGGAUGACGGCCUUCGGGUUGUAAACCGCUUUCGCCUGUGACGAAGCGUGAGUGACGGUAAUGGGUAAAGAAGCACCGGCUAACUACGUG